UCGGCGAGGCAAAGGGAGGCCUAAGAGGUAUUGGGGAGAGGUUAUUAGGCAUGACAUGGCUACAAUGCGGGUUUCCGAGGACAUGGCCCUUGAUAGGAAACUAUGGAGGUCUAGUAUCAGGGUUGUAGGAUAGGGACCCCUAGAGUUUUUCGUCCUACUCACCUGGGGUUGGGUGAGGCUUGGCAGGGCUAUCCAUAGAUGAUUUGUGUUUUGGAAUGUGUCUCCC
rnacentral:lncRNA from 1 species